rnacentral:misc_RNA from 1 species
CUUCUCACGAACCUCUACCCUUCUCCUUCUCUAUCCCUCCCUAAUCCCUAUUUCAGAUUCUCAUCACUACACACCAAUCUCUAUCCCUUCCUCACCCAUCUAACUUAUUNNUCCUUCACCCAUAUCAGAGGAUCAUUGCAUCGUGCUCAAAGAUUCAUCAAUGAGCAUUGCACCCGAAAGACCUAUCGAUGAGCAUCACACCCAGAGAC